UAAGGCGGCCACAGCGGCAGGGCGACUCCCGUACCCAUCCCGAACACGGAAGAUAAGCCUGCCAGCGUUCCAGCGAGUACUGGAGUACGAGAGUCUCUGGGAAAACUGACCCGCAAGGG
rnacentral:rRNA from 1 species